UACGAAGGGGGCUAGCGUUGCUCGGAAUUACUGGGCGUAAAGCGCACGUAGGCGGCUUUCUAAGUCGGAGGUGAAAUCCUGGAGCUCAACUCCAGAACUGCCUUCGAUACUGGAGAGCUUGAGUCCGGGAGAGGUGAGUUGGAACUGCGAGUGUAGAGGUGAAAUUCGUAGAUAUUCGCAAGAACACCAGUGGCGAAGGCGGCUCACUGGCCCGGUACUGACGCUGAGGUGCGAAAGCGUGGGGAGCAAACAGGG
rnacentral:rRNA from 1 species